rnacentral:rRNA from 1 species
UAGGGAAUCUUCGGCAAUGGACGGAAGUCUGACCGAGCCACGCCGCGUGAGUGAAGAAGGUUUUCGGAUCGUAAAGCUCUGUUGUUAGAGAAGAACGUUGGUAGGAGUGGAAAAUCUACCAAGUGACGGUAACUAACCAGAAAGGGACGGCUAACUACGUGCCAGCAGCCGCGGUAAUACGUAGGUCCCGAGCGUUGUCCGGAUUGAUUGGGCGUAAAGCGAGCGCAGGCGGUUCUUUAAGUCUGAAGUUAAAGGCAGUGGCUUAACCAUUGUACGCUUUGGAAACUGGAGGGCUUGAGUGCAGAAGGGGAGGGUGGAAUUCCAUGUGUAGCGGUGAAAUGCGUAGAUAUAUGGAGGAACACCGGUGGCGAAGGCGGCUCUCUGGUCUGUAACUGACGCUGAGGCUCGAAAGCGUGGGGAGCAAACAGG